rnacentral:rRNA from 1 species
CAACAUCGGUCCAAUCCUUAAAGUCAUCCUCAGUUCGGACUGGGGUCUGCAACCGACCCCACGAAGCUGGAUUCGCUAGUAAUCGCGCAUCAGCCAUGGCGCGGUGAAUACGUUCCCGGGCCUUGUACACACCGCCCGUCAAGCCAUGAAAGCCGGGGGCGCCUGAAGUCCGUGACCGCGAGGGUCGGCCUAGGGUGAAACCGGUGAUUGGGGCUAAGUCGUAACAAGGUACC